GUCUCUCGCUGCCGCCGGAGUUUCCAGGUCUCGACUUCACUGCUCUGUGUCCUCUGCUCCAGGAGGCCCAGCCUGUGUGGCCCUGUGACCUGCAGGUAUUGGAGAGCCACAGCUAAGAUGCCAGGAACCCCUGGAAGCCUAGAAAUGGGACUGUUGACAUUUAGGGAUGUGGCCAUAGAAUUCUCUCCGGAGGAGUGGCAAUGUCUGGACACUGCACAGCAGAAUUUAUAUAGGAAUGUGAUGUUAGAGAACUACAGAAACCUGGCCUUCCUGGGUAUUGCUCUCUCUAAGCCAGACCUGAUUACUUAUCUGGAGCAAGGAAAAGAGCCCUGGAAUAUGAAGCAACAUGAGAUGGUGGAUGAACCCACAGGUAUAUGUCCUCAUUUUCCUCAAGACUUUUGGCCAGAGCAGAGCAUGGAAGAUUCUUUUCAAAAAGUAUUACUGAGAAAAUAUGAAAAAUGUGGACAUGAGAAUUUACAGUUAAGAAAAGGUUGUAAAAGUGUGGAUGAGUGUAAGGUGCACAAAGAAGGUUAUAAUAAACUUAACCAGUGUCUCACAACUGCCCAGAGCAAAGUAUUUCAAUGUGGGAAAUAUUUGAAAGUCUUCUAUAAAUUUUUAAAUUCAAACAGACAUACGAUAAGACAUACUGGAAAGAAAUGCUUCAAAUGUAAAAAAUGUGUCAAGUCAUUUUGCAUCCGUUUACACAAAACCCAACAUAAAUGCGUUUAUAUUACAGAGAAGUCCUGUAAAUGUAAAGAAUGUGAAAAAACCUUUCAUUGGUCCUCAACCCUUACUAAUCAUAAGGAAAUUCAUACUGAAGAUAAACCCUACAAAUGUGAAGAAUGUGGCAAAGCUUUUAAGCAGCUCUCAACCCUUACUACACAUAAAAUAAUCUGUGCUAAAGAGAAAAUCUACAAGUGUGAAGAAUGUGGCAAAGCAUUUCUAUGGUCCUCAACCCUAACUAGACAUAAGAGGAUACACACUGGAGAGAAACCCUACAAAUGUGAAGAAUGUGGCAAAGCUUUUAGCCAUUCUUCAACCCUUGCUAAACAUAAGAGAAUUCAUACUGGAGAGAAACCCUACAAAUGUGAAGAAUGUGGCAAAGCUUUUAGCCGUUCUUCAACCCUUGCUAAACAUAAGAGAAUUCAUACUGGAGAGAAACCCUACAAAUGUAAAGAAUGUGGCAAAGCUUUUAGCAAUUCCUCAACCCUUGCUAAUCAUAAGAUAACUCAUACUGAAGAGAAACCCUACAAAUGUAAAGAAUGUGACAAAGCUUUUAAGCGACUCUCAACCCUUACUAAACAUAAAAUAAUACAUGCUGGAGAGAAACUCUACAAAUGUGAAGAAUGUGGCAAAGCUUUUAAUCGAUCUUCAAAUCUUACUAUACAUAAGUUUAUUCAUACUGGAGAGAAACCUUACAAGUGUGAAGAAUGUGGCAAAGCAUUUAACUGGUCCUCAAGCCUUACUAAACAUAAAAGAUUUCAUACUAGAGAGAAACCCUUCAAAUGUAAAGAAUGUGGCAAAGCAUUUAUAUGGUCUUCAACCCUAACUAGACAUAAGAGGAUACACACUGGAGAGAAGCCCUACAAAUGUGAAGAAUGUGGCAAAGCUUUUAGGCAAUCCUCAACCCUUACUAAACAUAAGAUAAUUCAUACUGGAGAGAAACCCUACAAAUUUGAAGAAUGUGGCAAAGCUUUUAGACAAUCCUUAACCCUUAAUAAACAUAAGAUAAUUCAUAGUAGAGAGAAACCCUACAAAUGUAAAGAAUGUGGCAAAGCUUUUAAGCAAUUCUCAACCCUUACUACACAUAAAAUAAUUCAUGCUGGAAAGAAACUCUACAAAUGUGAAGAAUGUGGCAAAGCUUUUAAUCAUUCCUCAAGUCUUUCUACACAUAAGAUAAUUCAUACUGGAGAGAAGUCUUACAAGUGUGAAGAAUGUGGCAAAGCAUUUCUAUGGUCCUCAACCCUAAGAAGACAUAAGAGGAUACACACUGGAGAGAAACCCUACAAAUGUGAAGAAUGUGGCAAAGCUUUUAGCCAUUCUUCAGCCCUUGCUAAACAUAAGAGAAUUCAUACUGGAGAGAAACCCUACAAAUGUAAAGAAUGUGGCAAAGCUUUUAGCAAUUCCUCAACCCUUGCUAAUCAUAAGAUAACUCAUACUGAAGAGAAACCCUACAAAUGUAAAGAAUGUGACAAAACUUUUAAGCGACUCUCAACCCUUACUAAACAUAAAAUAAUACAUGCUGGAGAGAAACUCUACAAAUGUGAAGAAUGUGGCAAAGCUUUUAAUCGAUCUUCAAAUCUUACUAUACAUAAGUUUAUUCAUACUGGAGAGAAACCUUACAAGUGUGAAGAAUGUGGCAAAGCAUUUAACUGGUCCUCAAGCCUUACUAAACAUAAAAGAAUUCAUACUAGAGAGAAACCCUUCAAAUGUAAAGAAUGUGGCAAAGCAUUUAUAUGGUCUUCAACCCUAACUAGACAUAAGAGGAUACACACUGGAGAGAAGCCCUACAAAUGUGAAGAAUGUGGCAAAGCUUUUAGCCGUUCCUCAACCCUUACUAAGCAUAAGACAAUUCAUACUGGAGAGAAACCCUACAAAUGUAAAGAAUGUGGCAAAGCUUUUAAGCACUCCUCAGCCCUUGCUAAACAUAAAAUAAUACAUGCUGGAGAGAAACUCUACAAAUGUGAGGAAUGUGGCAAAGCUUUUAAUCAAUCUUCAAAUCUUACGACACAUAAGAUAAUUCAUACUAAAGAGAAACCUUCCAAGAGUGAAGAAUGUGACAAAGCAUUUAUCUGGUCCUCAACCCUUACUGAACAUAAGAGAAUUCAUACCAGAGAGAAAACCUACAAAUGUGAAGAAUGUGGCAAAGCAUUUAGCCAGCCUUCACACCUUACUACACAUAAGAGGAUGCACACUGGAGAGAAACCCUACAAAUGUGAAGAAUGUGGCAAAGCUUUUAGCCAAUCCUCAACCCUUACUACACAUAAGAUAAUUCAUACUGGAGAGAAACCCUACAAAUGUGAAGAAUGUGGCAAAGCUUUUAGGAAAUCUUCAACUCUUACUGAACAUAAGAUAAUUCAUACUGGAGAGAAACCCUACAAAUGUGAAGAAUGUGGCAAAGCAUUUAGCCAAUCCUCAACCCUAACUAGACAUACGAGGAUGCACACUGGAGAGAAACCAUACAAAUGUGAAGAAUGUGGCAAAGCUUUUAAUCGAUCCUCAAAGCUUACUACACAUAAGAUAAUUCAUACUGGAGAGAAACCUUACAAGUGUGAAGAAUGUGGCAAAGCAUUUAUAUCAUCCUCAACCCUAAAUGGACAUAAGAGAAUUCAUACUAGAGAGAAACCCUACAAAUGUGAAGAAUGUGGCAAAGCAUUUAGCCAAUCUUCAACCCUAACUAGACAUAAGAGGUUGCACACCGGAGAGAAACCCUACAAAUGUGGAGAAUGUGGCAAAGCCUUUAAAGAGUCCUCAGCUCUUACUAAACAUAAGAUAAUUCACACUGGAGAGAAACCCUACAAAUGUGAAAAAUGUGGCAAAGCCUUUAACCAGUCUUCAAUCCUUACUAACCAUAAGAAAAUUCAUACUAUCACACCUGUAAUCCCACUACUUUGGGAGGCCGAGGCGGGCGGAUCACGAGGUCAGGAGAUGGAGACCAUCCUGGCUAACACAGUGAAACCCCUUCUCUACUAAAAAAUACAAAAAAUUAGCCGGGCGUGGUGGCGGGCGCCUGUAGUCCCAGCUAUGCGAGAGGCUGAGGCAGGAGAAUGGCGUGAACCCGGGAGGCGGAGCUUGCAGUGAGCCGAGAUCACGCCACUGCACUCAAGCCUGGGCGACAGAGCGAGACUCCGUCUCAAAAAAAAAAAAAAGAAAAUUCAUACUAGAGAGAAACCCUACAAAUAUAAAGAAUGUGGCAAAUCUUUUAACCGGUCUUCAACCUUUACUAAACAUAAGGUAAUUCAUACUGGAGUAAAACUCUACAAAUGUGAAGAAUGUGGCAAAUCCUUUUUCUGGUCCUCAGCCCUAACCAGACAUAAGAAAAUUCAUACUGGACAGCAACCCUACAAACAGGAAAAAUUUGGCAAAGCCUUUAACCAGUUUUCACACCUUACUACAGAUAAGAUAACUCAUAUUGGAGAGAAAUCUUACAAGUGUGAAUAAUGUGGUAAAGUCUAUAAAAAGUCCUGAAUUCUUAACAGACAUAAUAUUAUUCAUACUGGAGAGAAACUCUACAAACCUGAAAGAUGUGCCAACGCUUUUGACAAGUCAAACUUUUCUAAACAUCAAGAAAAUCAUGCUGCUGAGAAAUCCUAGAAAUGUGAAGAAUGUGACAAAGCCUCUAAAUGAUUGUCACACUUGAUCGUAGGUAAGAUAAUUCAUACUGGAGAAAACUACCAGUGUGAACAAUGUGGCCAAGCUUUGAACUAAUGCUCACACCUUAAUGCAUAGGAAAGCAUUUAUGCUUGAGAAAAAGUGAACAAAUAUAGACAAAAAGCCAUUAAUACCUGCUCACAUCGUACUCAAAUUCAGAGCGUUCAUACUAAAUAAGAAGUGUAAUUACUGUCAAACGACUGAUCAGAAAAUAUGUCUUUAAAGUACAGAAGAGUAUUUUGAAAAAGCAUUACAAAUAUGAAGAGGCAUUAUUUAUGACCUUUUCUAUGGAAAGACGGAGUCUUGCUCCAUCGCCAGGCUGGAGUGCAGUGGCGCGAUCUCGUCCCACUGCUCACUGCAACCUCUGCCUCCCCUAUUGAAGUGAUUCUCCUGUCUCAGCCUCCUGAGUAGCUGGGACUACAGGCACACACCACCACGCUCAGCUAAUUUUUGUAUUUUCAGAAGAGACGGGGUUUCAUCAUAUUCACCAGGCUGGUCUUGAUCUCUUGACCUCGUGAUACCCUCACCUCACCCUCCCAAAGUGCUGGGACUACAGGCGUGAGCCACCGCACCCAACCAAAUCUAUACAUUUCAAUGAAGGAUUUAAUUUAUUUAUAUUCAAGGUAAAUAUUAAUAUGUAAGGUUUUGUUACUAUCAUAAUGUUAAUUAUUUUCUUGUCUUAUUUUUUUAUCUGUCUUUGUAGUUUAAUAAAAUUCUGUCAUGUUGUGAUUUGAUUUAUUUCACUUUGUUUUGUUUUGUAAGACCUGUUAGUUUUAUACUUUUAUAUAUUUUAAUAAUGGUGAAUAUCAAUCUCUUGUUUUUAUAUUAGAAUUUUUUUUAACAUCUUUCAUAGGCCCAGUCUAGUGGUAAUUAGUUUCCCCAGCAUUUAUUUGUCAGGGUAAGACUUUAUAUUCUUCAUUUGUGAAGGUUAUUCUAGCUUGAUAUAAAAUUUUUGGCUGGCAGUUUUCUUUUUUUUCAACACUCUAAAAGUGCCAUCCCAUUCUCUUCUGGUCAGUAAAGUUUCUGCUGAGAAGUCUGCUUUUAAUCUAAUGUGGUUUUCUUUAUAAAUUACUAGAUGCUUUUCUUUUGCUUAUUUUAGAAUUACUUCCUUCACUUUGACUUUAGAUAUUCUGAUUAUCAUGUGCCAUUAUGAUGUCUGUUUUGCAAUAUAUUUUGUUUAUAUUUUGUUGUAUUUUGUUUGCUGAGCUUCCUGUGUAUGUAUGUCUAAUUCUAUUGCUAGAGUUGGAAAGUUUUCAUCAAUUGUUUUCUUAAAUAGGUUUUCUAAACUUUUUGAUGUUUUUUCUUCCUCAGAAACACUGAUAAUUUUAAAGUUUAGUUACUUCAUGUAGUUGGAAACAAAGUCUUCAUUCUUUUUUAUUCUUUUCUCCUUAUUUUUGUCUGAGUGUAUUAUUUUAAAAGACCUGUUUAAAGGUUUGAAAAUUAUUUUUAUGUUUCUUCCAGUCUAUUAUUGAAUCUUUGAAUGUAUUUUCUUUUGCCUGCAAUAAAUCUUCAGUUCCAUAAUUUUUGUUUCAGUUUCUAUUAAAAGAUAUCUAUCUCCUUGGAACAUUUCCCAUUUGGACUCUAAAUUUAUUUAUUUAUUUUUGUACUGGUUUUCAGAUUUCUCUUGCCUCUCUUUGAGUUUCUUUAAAAUCUAUAUUUUGAAGUCUUUUUAAAGUAUUUUAAAGCCAUUUCAAUGAAUUUUUUUUUCUUAGAGUACUGGAGAAUUAUUGUGUUCCUUUGAAAGUGUCAUAAGCCUUGCUUUUCUGUGUUUCCUGUGUCUUUAUGUGUCUUUAUAUUGAUUUCUGCACAUCUGGAGAAAUAGUUGUUUCAUUUUAUUUUCGAAUUUACAUUCAUUGGAGGAAGUUUUUUUUUUUUUUUGAAGUUAUUACCAUAAUGUUUAUUGCAUAGGGCCAUGUGGCUUUACUUUUGGGUUUGUGCAGUGGGAAAGACUCUGUAUGAGUUUCUUCAGUAUAAACAAAUAUAUAUAUAUACACACACACAUACACACACACAUAUAUAUACAUGUCUGUGUAUGUGUGUGUUUAUAAAUACAUAUAUAUAUAAAACAAAUGUUUUAUUGGCUCGGGGUCAUCUUUUCUCUUAGGUUGAUUUUGAAUUCUAAGUCUAAGUCUAAGUCUCAGAAAACAAUAAAUUUAUCUUUGUUGUGUUGGUCAUUGAGGGCCAGCACACCUGACAUGAAAGAGUAAGAAGGUAGGGUGGGGUAGAUGGUGAGAAAUUACUUAAUAGUUAUAAUGUACAUUAUUCGAGUGAUGGAUACCAUAAAAGCCCUGACUUCACCACUAUGCAAUCUAUGCAUGUAACUAAAUUAUACUUGCACCCAACACAUUUGUAUAAAUAAAUUAAACACAACCACUAGUUAAAACUUGCUAUCUUGCUUAUUCAUACAUACAAAUACGUUAUAAAUGUUUCCCAUGACAUUAACUAUUAUUGAUACAGGAGUUAAAAGCAGGAGAACGGCAUGAACCUGGGGGGCGGAGCCUGCAGUGGGCGGAGAUCACGCCACUGCACUCCAGCCUGGGCGACAGCGAGAAUCCAUCUCAACAAAAACAAAAAUGAAUAAAUAAAUAAAUAAUUUAGGCAGAUAGUGAGUGAGGGCAAAAACAGUCCUUGGUAAAGUUUUCCUUUUAAUAAAAACCCCCAAAUUAUUUCUUUUUAACAAAGAGCAGCCUGUAAGAUUGAGCUGCAGACAUAGAUAAGCGAGCUGGAAGCUUGCAUGAAUAAAUGCCUGCAGCUCUGCUAAUAGGAAAAGGAGCUACCUGGAAAGGACACAUGUUCAAAAUGGUGGCUCCAUCUUCCCUUUUCUUUGUAAACCACGUGUAGAGUAACGAACAGGCAACAUGGUGCUGGCAAGUGCUCCAUUUGCAUAAUUGAAGAUUAGCUAGCUUCCUCCUAAGCUGUGUAAACAUCCAUACCUGAUCCAGCCAAUCUUUGGCCCCUAUGUAAAUCAGACACUGCCUCCUGAAGGCAGUCUGUAAAAUCCAGUGCACUUCUCUGCAAGCUAAAAGUCCCACUCUUUCUCAGGAGAGAGAGCUAUUCUCCUUUCUCUUUCUUUUGCCUAUUAAACCUCUGCUCCUAAACCAAGUUUUUCUGUGUCCAUGUACUCGAUUUCCUUGGUAUGAGAUGAUGAACCUCAGGCAUUCACCCCAAACAAGUGAUUCCACUUCAUUAUGUUAAAAUUAAUAUAUUAGUUAAAAUUACUAUAUUAAGAAAUGUAGCACAUUUUAAAGGCUGCUGAUGCACAGUGUAAAACCUGCCAUAUACAAAUAUGACAUCAAAUUGUACUUCCGGUAACAGUGUUAGAAAGCUCUUGUUUCCCUACAAUUAUCAUUUAUGAAGAGUUUAAUGGAACAUGUUAUUUUAAAAAGUAUUUUCCGGGGUUCCAAGAUGGCCGAAUAGGAACAGCUCCAGUCUACGGCUCCCAGCAUGAGUGACGCAGAAGACAGGUGAUUUCUGCAUUUCCAACUGAGGUACUGGGUUCAUCUCACUGUGACUUGUUAGACAGUGGGUGCAGCCCAUGGAGUGUGAGCUGAAGCAGGGUAGGGCAUCACCUCACCCAGAAAGCGCAAGGGGUCGGGGAAUUCCCUUUCCUAGGCAAGGGAAGCCGUGACAGAUGGUACUUGGAAAAUUGGGACACUCCCACCCUAAUGCUACACUUUUCCAACGGUCUUAGCAAACGGCACACCAGGAGAUUAUAUCCUGUGCCUGGCACGGAGGGUCCCAUGCCCAUGGAGCCUUGCUCACUGCUAGCACAGCAGUCCGAGAUCAAACUGCAAGGUGGCAGCGAGGUUGGGGGAGGGGCGUCCACCAUCGCUGAGGCUUGACUAGGUAAACAAAGCAGCCGGGAAGUUUGAAUUGGUUGGAGCCCACUGCAGCUCAAGGAGGCCUGCCUGCCUCUGUAGACUGUGCCUCUGGGGGCAGGGCAUAGCUGAAGAAAAGGUAGCAGAAACUUCUGCAGACUUAAACAUCCCUGUCUGACAGCUUUGAAGAGAGUAGUGGUUCUCCCAGCACAGAGUUUGAGAUCUGAGAAUAGACAGACUGCCUCUUCAAGUGGCUCCCUGACCCCCGAGUAGCCUAACUGGGAGACAACUCCCUGUAGGGGCCAACUGACAUCUCAUACAGCCGGGUGCCCCUCUGAGACGAAGCUUCCAGAGGAAGGAUCAGGCAGCAACAUUUGCUGUUCUGCAAUAUCUGUUGCUCUGCAGCCUCUACUGGUACCCAGGCAAACAGAGUCUGGAGUGGACCUCCAGCAAACUCCAACAGACCUGAAGCCUGAGGUUCCUGACUAUAACAAACCUCCACGCUAUGCACAUGUACCCUAGAACUUAAAGAAUAAUAAAUAAAAAGUUUAAAAAAUUCCAGUUAAAAAAAUUCUUUUUUGGUAUGUGAAAAACUGGCGUCUCAUUAUUUUAAUAUGCAUUUUAGUAACUAUUUAGGUAACUUGGUUUUAUAUAUGUUUAGUGUACUACUUUUGAAUUACCUAGUAAGGUCUUCUGCUUAUUUUGCUACUGAAUUAUUUAACUUUUUACUGAUUUGUAUAAGCUUUUGGUAACCCCAUUAUAAUAAUCAUUUGUUCAAAAUUAUUUUACAUAUAUCUCCAUUCAGCUCCUAGUGUUCAUAUUCAAUGUUUUUGAGAGAAAAGAAGUCCGUCCCUUCUAAAAUUGUCUACUCUCUAAGGAGUUUAAAUAAGUACCAAUUAGUAAAUACAAUUAGGGAAGUUUAAACAUUGUCUAAUUGAAUUUGAUUUGUGGAAAAUAAAUGUUUCUCACCUUCUAUUAUUAUUUAACCAUGUAUAGGAAGGCAGCCAAUACAUUCUGGGCUGAAAAGUCUCUUUUUAAAAAGGGAAAAUGUAUUCUAUCAAAAAGGGUACCAAAUUACAAGUUUGCACUGCACGUUGCUGAACACAUUGUCUUUUUUCAAGCUUAAACUUUCUAAAACGUUAGCAGUGUUCCCUCUGAAACACAGAGCUGCUCACAUUACAGCCCUGCUCCAAAACAUUUGAUGGCUCAUAACAGCCUACACAGCUGAGCCCCUCAUCCAUUUUCCUAAGGCCAGUAUCUCUCAUCAUGCCAACUCUACACAACACUUCCAAACUAUAUUCUCUUGUCACACUCUACUUCUUGUCCUACCCUGUCCUCAAAUAAGCCUUAUAUUUUAAUACUUCAAGUCCUGUACUUAAACUACUUUUUUGCCUAAAUUUACAUUUCUUCUUUCCCACACUCUUCCUCUACACAUGGAAAACAUGUACAUUUGAGGGUAUCACCUUUUCUUUGCACUGCAACUUUUCACUUGCCAGUUCUCCACUUGUUCUUGCUGUUUGUGAGUCACUGGUGAAUUUUAGAACUAGAACCAUAUUAUAUCAAUCUUUAUAGUUCCGCAGCCUGGUACCAGGUGUGGGCAUCAAAAAAUGGUUCCCAAUCCAAGCUUGCUGAAAGUGAUAUUCAACAGAUGACAAAAGAAAGGAGCCAGAAUGCUGGUCUGCUAAUCCACAUUGCUUUCCACUAUUGCUUUGCUGAAACUCUCCCAAUGUCAUGAGAAAUAUAACAAUGAUAAUAAUAAUACUAGCAGUAAAUAGAGAAGACAAGUCAGUUAAAAUUGAGCUGGUAGCAUGCAUGACUUCAUUUCUCUAUUUAUUCCUAGUUUCAAAAUAGUCCUUAUCCACAGAUAGGAAGAAACAGGAAACAGACCCUCAAGUGCUUAUCACAAUGCAAGAUUUCCCAAUUUCAUAACUUGUUCAGGCACCCUCAUAAAAGAAUCUAGGCACACUGGUGACCCCAUCUCAAACAUACUCAAAACACAGAAGGUCUUCCUCUCACUGUCCUCCAGUACAUGUGGCUCCUCCUGCUUAAAAAGCAAAACAACAAAGAAAUAAUACCUCCCAGAGGCUAUCACAGUUGAGCUUGGACAAAUCUUUAGAUUAGAUGAGUAGUCAAGCCAAUUCAAUUGUUGCCUUUACUUGGCUCAUAUCACGUUAUGAACUUUUUAGGAUCACCCCAAUGCAAAUUCUGAGGCAAAACCUUGAGUUUCUAUAAUAUGUAAAGUAACAAUAACCUAUUAUAACAAACCAAUAGACCUGUUCUCAAGGCGUUGGGCCUACCCAAAGCAAAACUAAAUUUCCCAAACACUUAUGAGUGUACAGUUUGAAAUCUCUUCAAAAGGAGGUUUCAUAUGGGUCCUUGAAUAGGGCUCAGCACUUCCAGUGAGGUUAAAAGUGGGUGUCCACAAAAAAGGUUUCAAAAGAUAAGAGAGUCCCCCAUGAUCCACCACACAGAGGACCAGCAGAAUCGCAGAGUCCAUGCCCACCCUUUUUCACUUCUGGAAUAUUUCCCACCAUGUGAAAGACCACCUCUUUUUCACACAUUAUCCUUUGCAAUGAGAACAUGGUAAAAAUUUGAUCCUUGACAGGCUUUGUUCAGGGUUUCACUCUUCUUUCCCACUGGGUCUCAGCCUGCUAGUAUUCUGCUUUAGUGUCUUGUUGAACCUCCCCUCUUUAAGGGCACACAAAUCCAAGUCAGUCAGUUCAUGUAGUAACACGACCUAUGCAAGCCCCUCAGUCCACAGAAUACCAAUCUCCAUUCCUGAUCAUCACAGAAGGGAAGGUCCCACUUAUGUCGUCAAAUAUUAGGUAAAAUGAGGUGUUGACUAGGUAAGCUGUGAUUUAUUUCUGGAAAUCAGGACCCUGUCCUGGCACACUUAUACUUUUUCCUUGGGGUGCCCAUCUUUUCGCUUGAUGUGCCUAACAGGGAGAACUCUGCACACAGGAGAUUUUCAGUUAGUAUUUGUUUGGUGAACGAAUCGUGUCUCUAUGGUAGGUAGUCCGGCAGGGGUCAGAAGCACAGCCCUGGAGACAAACUUAACAGUUUGAGUUCUAAUAGCUGGCUGCCUCCCUGGGUCUCUGUUUUCUCACGUGAAUCCUGAGGAUAAUAAUUACAUCUACAUCCCUCUGUCAUGUAAUGAAUGAAAAAGAUGAUGUGUUAAAAAAAAAAUUAGGAUGCUGGUAGCUAGUGGUCAGUAAUUGUUAGAUCUUAUGACUUCUGCUCUUACUGCCAUCAUGGUGAGUGUGUUUCUAUGUAAAAAAGCUAACAACCAACAAAGGGUGAAAAUUAAAGUUCAACUUUUGAUUAUUGACUUACAGACUGGAUUCCUAUCGAUUAAUAAUAGGUCUAGCACAGGUAGAAGAGAAACAGAAAGAUUUAACUUCUGGUUUAUAUGAUUUAAUGCAAAUACAAACAAACCUGGCUAAGAAAUGGUUUUCACCAAAGUUUGUCUGCAACUUGAAUAUUGUAGGUUAAACUUAUUUAAAAGUACUCUAGACAGAUUUGUUUGUAAUAGAAGCAUGUCAUAGUUUCUGGUUAGGACUGGAUUUCUGUUUAUUUAAUUUUCUGAAGAGACACCAGAGACAGCCCUAGCUACUAUCAGACUUCUUAGAGACAAGCUGGGCAAAUGAGCCCUUACAAAACUCCAUUUACUGUAAAGAUAAUAAUGAAAUAAAUAAUAAUCUCUAAACAUAAGAAUUUGACCAGUGUUAACCACUCCACUUCUCCAAUACACUGAUACUUCUCCCUUUCUCUUAGCAUAACACAAAACAAACACAUGACCACACACUAUCCACUCUCCAGUGCAGAACAGAGUAACAAAGGCGCACAGCAAGCUUCAGAACACACAGACCACCAUGUUCACCACAUCUACAUCUAGAGCUGCUUAAAAAAAGCCAAAUCCAUGAGAAACGGAGAAGAUGAGUGACUACCCUGUUUUCAGCACUUACUGUCACAAGAAGACCAAACAUACACACACACUCUCAUUCUGAGGCACAGCAUCCGCUUUCCUGAAGAAAGAGUAAUUUUACAGCAUAUAUCCUGAUCUCACAUUCUUAGCAACAUGACACUGGCUUUGGGCAUGCAAAGAAUAGGCAUAUUACAGACAACCCUAAGACACAUCGCAUGGCCUGUAUUACCAGAUAUAAUUUUUAAUUUCUCUGAAGUAAACUCAAAUUACUUCUCUGAAGUAAACUCAAAUUUCAAACUUGUAUUUCUUUAUUAACUUAAUUAAUUUCCUCAGGGACUUCACAGAAAAUAUAUUCAACUUUCAUUCACUUAGUCUUACCACAAUAGAAGGUCUAACAUAUACAGAAGACAGCCAUAUGUAAGACAUGCCCAUACCCCAAAGCAUAGAAAAUGUAACACACCAGGGCCUUGAGGAAGCAGCACUAUAACAGUGCAAAUACACAAAUAUUUAGGAAAACUUACAUCACCCAACAGACAGCAUGUAUGGUCACCAUUAUCCAGCACUCUCCAAAAUAAGUAGCUAUGAGUGGCUUAUCUAAAAGUUGCCUUAUAUAUACUUGUCACCACAAAUUGUUUCUGAACAUACUAUUGAUUCCAAUUUUGGAUAUUCACAACAUGGUAAUUAUCUGGUAAGAUAUAUUUAUGACUAACUUGUAAUUAGACUUCUAAAUGCAUGCAUACGCUUGGGUCACAGUGAGGCAAAAACUCUGAGUUAUUUGUAGAGUACCUUAAGAUUUAACUUUUCAAAAACCAUAUUUAAGCUUAGCUUUAGAAGUAUUCUUCCCAGCAUCCCUUCACCAAGCUAUUUCAAUUUUUUAAAGUGAGGAGUAGGGAGGGCUUUUUAAAGUAUUAUUCCUUUAUAUUCAGUUUCUCUUAUCCCAUAUAGAAAUGGAAUAAAGCAUGGUGUCCAUCCUAAUGAUAUUUAUGGUGUGGUGAUGCAGAAUUAUCCAUGGGCUCAAGCAAGAGAUGAAAAAUCAUAUUCUCCCCAAAAUGGGAAAAUCAGUGCUACCAGGGGCCCAAAGGGAUGUUCAGGUUACAUCUGUCAGGAUUAAUACCAUAACAGAGGACCAUCUUUGGAGCACAGUGGGGCUCACCUCCGAUUCUGGUGAGUCAUGUGGAUGACAUCAGAGACAAGCAUUACCCAAAAUGAGCAUCCCAAUAAGACUUUCAUGUGAGAUGGUAUUAGAAGACUUUCUUUCUUUUUUUUUUUUUCUUUUGAGACGAAGUCUGGCUCUGCUGCCAAGGCUGGAGUGCAGUGGCACAAUCUCGGCUCACUGCAACCUCCACCUCCCAGGUUCCAGUGAUUCUCCCACCUCGGCCUCCCGAGUAGCUGGGAUUACAGGCGCCCGCCCCAACACCCGGCUGAUUUUUAUAUAUUUAGUAGAGGCGAGCUUUCACCAUGUUGACAAAGCUGGUCUCGAACUCCUGACAUCAGGUGAUCCGCCUCAGCCUCCAGAAGUGCUGGGAUUACAGGCAUGAGCCACCAUGCCUGGCCGCGAGUCCCAGUAAAACUUUUAUGUGAGAUGGUCUUAGAAGAUGGUGGCCUAAUUCACACGGAAGAGGAUGGCUGUGCAGCCAAGUGAGACAGAUAUUUUUUCUCAGGAGCAGAAAUCUUAAGGUAGAAGAUGGUCACUCGCUGAGUAGUUGAGGCAUGCCUUGAUGGAACUCUCUGGGGGUCAGAUUGCAUGCUGUCUCCCUGAGUUGCAUAAAGCACAGGACAGCCUGCCUGCACUCCAGCUUCUAGCAUGUACCAACUCAGCAGACAACAUCACUAUUUUGUUUGCCAUUAAAAUACACAGUACUUUGUUUGCCAUUAAAAAAUAUAGUACAAUCUCAAGGACUGCUUAGGGGUAGGUAGAAAGUCUGUCAUCACCAGAAGUAUUUAAAUGCUGGCUAGACAAAUACUCUGUGGAAAUAAGUUUCACUCUUUGUGAAAGGGGUAAAAUGAAUCAUUUUCUUUGGCACUGACAGAGCUAGUGAAGAUCUUAGCAUCCAGUAGAUAAACAGCAACUUCCGUUUACUACAUAAACUUUAUUUUCACAGAUUACUGCUGAAGCAAAAUAUUGAUACAUCUCUAAGACAUUAAGCAUAUCACAAGACCACUUAUGUUCUUCAUGGGCUUUCAAUUAAGAAAUGACUUGAAAAAUCAGGCCUUGAAAGGAGUUCUGAUGCUCCUAAUUAGCAUCAGAACUGCUCUGAUGGGCUUAAGCCAUCCUGAGAGUCCUAGCUUGCUUCCUACCCGAAGUCUCUUCUCAUGAAUCCUAUGCUUCCAAGUCAAACAGAUAAAGCAUCACUAAAUCAAAUACAAACUUCAACACUCUUAACAUUUAGGUGUACAUCUCAUCUGAAAAUCAUUCAAAAGCUCAGGUCAUCUACAAGAAAUCUUUUCUUUGCAUUUUAGUAUCAAAAAAUUGAAAGAAGGAAAAGAAUAGGAGAAAGCCAUUUAUUUUCAUAGAAUGUAAUUUAUUUUCAAGAAUGUAACAUUGGUUUAUCAGUUACAUAAGUACAUUUAAUGCGUCAUCCAUGCCAGGUACAUAAUUUUUAACCAACUAAAACACAUUACAAGUGGAGAAAUAGCUAAAAACAUGGAAAACAUAUACAUAACUCUUUAAAGGGUAGGGAACAUGCCCUGUUCAUAUACAUUGCUUAAUCCAGCAUUCCAGUCUCAAUGAGGCACCACCAUCCACCCAGCUAUAAAAUCCAAGAUCAGGAAGUUAUCUAUCCCUUCCCCACACCAUCCAAUCAGCAAGCCUCUCUUACCUCUUAAACCUUUAUCAAAUCCAUUUGAGCUCCCAUCUUUACUGUCACGAUGCUGCAGGCCAUCACUGCUUUUCAAAGUUUUCAUAAACUAGCCUUCUAACUGAUCUUCCAAACAGAAGGCCAAUCAUUAUUUCCUUCUACCUGGUCUAUUUACUACUUGGGUAAAAAUAGUCCUUAGCAUGCAAAUUUCAUCAUACUACUUUUUGGCCCAACAGUUUUCAAAGCUUUCCAGAGUUCUUACAAUCUGCUCUAGCCCCUAUCUACUUCAUCAUUCCUGUCAUUCACCUCAUUCAGUGUCUUUUCUUCUUCCAGACACUGUACUUCCCCCAUUUCCCUGACACAUCCACCUUUUCAACCUCAGGGCUUUUGUACCAGCUGUUCUCUGAAGCAUUCUUUUUCCUUCUAUCACACAUCCUUCAGAUAUUAGCUCAAAUGUUACUUCCACAGGAUGCCUUCCUUGACCUGCAUCCUGGCAUCCUCCAUUCCUCUCCCAUACACAAAGGCCAAACUUUACUUCAUAGCUUCUUGUCAUACUUAACUUUGAGCAGUUAACACUGAUAGAAGUGACCUGUUCAUGGCUAGAUGAGUCUCUCUCAUUGUGAUCUAUCUUUAAUGAGAUUAGCAACUGUAUGUCUUUGCCAUACCGGUAGGCUUGGUGGUAAAGACAGAACCUUCACAAGCAGAUAUUUGGAUAUUUAUGGACUAAAUACAGAUCUGUAAAAGUAAAAAAAAAAAUGGGAAUGGUAAAUUUGGUAGUAAAAAACUGUCUUCUAAAAGGAGGCUAAGUCCGAUAGAAAAAAAUUGUACUUAGGAAAAUUAAGUUGUGAAACCUUAAGCUUUUGAACACAAAAAUCGUUCUUUGAAAACUUAAUUUCAUAAUUUAAACACAAAUCAAAUUCAGAGAAACACAAGUUAAGACUCCUUUAAGUUACUCUUGGUUUAAAACUUUGACGUAGAAUAUUUUAACCAAAUACAUAUAGAUUUAACCAACCAAAUCACAGAAAACCUGUUCGGGUUGUUAAUUAAACCAUUAUAAACCACUUAACAAACAAUUAAAACUCUAAAGUAAAAGAUAAAAUGGCUUAAAAAAAUCUAUUUUCUGUAUCACAGAGGAAAAUACACAAGCCUCCUCAGAAAUGAAACUAAGUUAGAAUCUUAUGUCUAAAUGUAUCUGCCAGGUAUGAGUCUAAAUACUAGUUAGCAUGUAAGCACUUAUUAAAAGACAUUUAAAGUUAGUAACGUAUCUUUAAUCAAUCAGGAUUUCAUCUUGUAUAAAGAUACUAAGGAUACUUCACCCAUAAUGCAAACUUUUUCUUUGUUAAAAAUUUAUUGUUUGACAAAAAAAACCCAUUCAAAUGUUUCACCUCGUGUUUCAGAACACCUACCUUAUCUUCUGGGUAUCCCUUUUAUUUCUGAAGAUACAUGUACCUCUUUUAAAAGAAAGUUAAAUUUUUGAUUUUUAGUAGUUAGAACAAUGCUUUGUUGUUUUUAACAAUAAAGUAUCAGGGUAAAGUAUGUUCUCCUAAAACAGUACACAUGAUUCUUUUUAUAAAUAUGAUAUAUAAUCAAUUAUUAUCAAGUAUGUACAUUGCACACACAUCAAGCAAGAUUUAUACCCUGUAGGUUUCUGGUAUUGCAUUCAAUUUUUAAAACCAAGAAUUAUGGAAUAAAGAGAAUUUAUGUACAAAGCAACACUCCUAUUAACUCAUGCCACUAGUGAAACAAAACUCUAAAUAAGUAGAGAAAACGGGUUCACACAUUGGAGCUCUGAAAUGAUCUGGGUCCUUUAUCUGUGCAUUUAUUUUUCCUAUUGAAUUUGAAGUUCAAACCAAAAUCCAUUAAAAAUGUUUAGAAUUAUUAAAGGCCACAGUGUGACAGCUUUUAGUGCAAGCAGGCAUUAGCAAGCAUUUUCUUUUCUCUUUAAGCUGAGCCAGCUUUUGUUUUAGAAUUUCUGUAAUUCAACAGUAUUUCCCACCAAAGCACCAAAAUCUUUUCCACCUUGCAGCAAACUACUGCAUGACAGAUGUGCCAAAGUUGUUAGUUUAUACCCACUUCCUUUGCUGAAUGUGUAGUAAUAGUUAGGCCUUAGCUUCCAAUUUACAUGAUGGUAUUCUCCAAAAUCUUCAAAAAUUUCAUUUUUAUAUCGGAAAUCAGCAUGCAAGUCCAGGCAUGGUGUCUUAUGCCUGUAAUCCCAGCAUUUUGCCAGGCCAAGGCAGGCGGCUCACCUGAGGUCAGGAGUUCAAAACCAGCCUGACCAAUGUGGUGAAACCUGUCUCUACUGAAAAUACAAAAAUUAGCUGGACGUGGUGGUGGGUGCCUGUAAUCGGAGCUACUUGGGAGGCUGAGGCAGGAGAAUUGCUUGAAACCGGGAGGCAGAGCCUGCAGUGAGCCAAGAUUGUAUCACUGCACACCAGCCUGGAUAACAGAGCAAGACUCCACCUCUCAAACAAGUAAAAUAAAUAAAUCAACAUGUAGUAGUCAGUGAGCACCAACCAUGCAAUUGUGCUAGGUACAGAAGAUGGAAAAAAUAUUCUUGAGGUGGGAGAAACAUGUUAACAGAUAAAUUACAGCAGACAGACUUGAUAGAUGGGGGUAAAAGUUAUUAGGAACAGAAGGCCUAAUUUUCCCUAGAAAAGGUAGUAUUUGAGAUGGGUCUCAACAGAAGAGUAAAGAGUAAAUAUUCUUUGCUGGGGGAAGGGGAUGGAGACAAAACAAAAAGAACAACCCGUGCAACAACAGAGGCAGUAAAGAAUUAUUCAGUGUGGCAGUGAUGUGGAAGACAGAGACAAGAGCCAAGACUAGCAAUUUGGUUUGGAAGCAGAUGAGGGUCUUUGUAAAACAAGUGAAGGAGUUUGGAUUUUUCUUUUUGUAGACAACAGGGAGGGAAGAGAUGUUAUUAGGCAGGCAAACAAUGAGAGCAGCUUUCAUUUUUGAGGAUGAUGACUCUGGCAGCAGGGUGGAAGAUAAACAGCAGUAGAGAGAAACUGGAGGCAGAAAAUUAACUCAAGAGGUACUUAUGACUCAAUGAGGACCUUAGGUCAGAAGUGAUUAAACAGCCAAAGUCAGUGACCGGAGCAUGGUUUUGGGGAGAGCCUGGUGACUGAUUGGACAUGGGGGUGAGAGAGACAUGCAUCAGGACAGCCAUCAGUAAUGUUCCUGGCCUAGUAGGUUGUGUACAUGGCAAUCACCUUCCAGAAGGAAUGGAGAUUACUUUCAUUUUUACAAGUACUUGCAGGGUGAGCGACUUGUAGUGUGAUCAAGAUGACAAAAGAUCACUGCUUCAGAAAAAUUGUAAGUGAAAAUAUAGAGUUAGAGUUGUCAGUUUAUAGGUUAGAGGAGAGGGCACAAAAGCACCAGAAUGCACAGGGCACUCUGCAGGAACAGAACUCACGCCCAGGUAUGGGACCACAAAGGUUGCUGCAGAGAACAGGCAUUGGGCACCUGGCAACUGACACCAAUGGGAUGCUUACAGUCUGUCCACUGAUUUAAGAAUUGUAAAACAACUAUUCACAAGUGUUGCACAUGUCUCUAAGGUAAGUGGGAGCCCAGACCACUUUGGGGGCAACUGUCUGCUUACUGCACGCAGCCCUUUCUUUUCUGGAAUUUAGUCUCCUCAUCAUCCUGCCUUCUCCCUUGCCUAUCUCCUGCUUGUGUAAUAAAGUGGAAAGUGGAAGGGCAGAACAAGGCUCAGAUCAGUGGCACUUGUUUGCUAAAAGUAUACUAGACAGUUCUGGUGUGAGGCCUGGGGUCCCAGAUCAUAUAAAUUAUCACUGUCUCCUUUAUUGCAUCCCUGUAUUAUCCCCAUCCCUCUCAGCCAGGGUAGCUGGCUGACAUCCACUCUCUCAAGAGGACAUGCAUGGACAGAAGACCUGGCUCAAGAAACAGCGCUCUAUGAAAAGGGCGGAUAGUUAUGUAACAAUUUUGCAAAAACUUGAGAAAUUAAAAUAAGGGAGACUAUGAAUGCAAAAACAUUAGAGAGCUUGCGCCCAGAAGUUUCAGACCAGACUAGGCAACGUGUUGAGACCCCGUCACUAAAAAAGAAUUUAGUCAGGUGUGAUGGGCCACGCCUGUAGUCCCAGCUACUCGGGAGGGUGAGGUGAGAGGAUCUCUUGAGGCUACAGUGAGUCAUAAUCUUGUGCCACUGCACUGCAGCCUAGGUGACAGAGCAAGAUUAUUUCUCAUAGAAUAUAUCUAUAAAUAUAUAUGUGUAUAUAUAUAUGUAUACAUACGUAUAUACAUACAUAUGUAUAUACGUAUAUAUAUAUAUAUACUUGGCCGCCUGAGUUAGGCCGGAUUAGUACUAUCCUCCAAAAGCUAAUAUAAAUGCACAUCAGUUCUUUCUAGCGCAGCGCUGAAGAGGGUGCCACUACUUGUGCUGGGUGCUGUUUGGCAUGGCCAGUGGCACAGUAAGAGAAGGAGUAGGAGUGGAGGAGUGAAGAAAGAGGAGGAGGAGAAGAGAAGAAAAGGAGGAGGAAAGAGAAGAACUAGAAGAGAAAAUGAGAAGAAGAUAGUAAGAAGAGAGGAAGUGGAGAAAAAAAGGAGAGGGGGACAACAGGACCAGGAGAGGAGAGGAGAAAAGGGAAGCUAGGAGGAAGUAGGGAGAAAAAAGGAGGAGAAGAAGAAAAGAAUGAGGAAAAGAGAAGAGGACGAGAGGAGGAGGAGAGGAUGAGAAAAAGAGGAAAGGAGGAAAGGAAGAGAAGGAGGAGGAGGAGAAGGAGGAGUAGAGGAGAUGGACAAGGAGGAGGAGGGGACAAGGAAGAGGAGAAGACGAAGAGAAAGGAGAGGAGGAGAAUCGGGAGCAGAAGAAGGAGGAGGAGAUGAAGAGGUGAAGGAGAGGAGGAGGAAAGGAGAAGAGAAGGAGGAGGAGAAAAGAAAGGAGUGGAGAAAGAGGAGAGGAGGAGAAAAAAUAGGAAACGAAGAGGAGAAGAAUAGGAGGAGGAAAAGGAUGGGAGAAAAGAAAAAGGAAAAGUAGGAGGAGUAGAAAAAGAGGAGAAGGAGGAAGAAGAAAGAGAAGGAGGAGACGAAAAGAAUGAGAAAAAGAGGAGAGGAGAAUGAGGAGAAGGCGUAGAAGAAAAGAAGGAGGAGAGGAUAAAGAAGGAGAAGUAGAGGAGGAGGAGAGAAGAGGAAAGGAGGAGGAGAGGAGAAGAGAAGGAGGAGGAGAAAGGAGAAGAGAAAAGGAGGAGGAAAAGAAGGAAAAGGAGGAUGGGAGGAAGAGAAGAGGAAAAGGAAAAAGGAAGAGGAGAGAAAAAGGAAAAGGAGGAGAAGAGUAGAGGAGAAGAAAGGAAAAGGAGGAUGAUAGGAAGAAGACGGAGGAGAAGAGGACAGAGAAGUAGAGGAGAAAAAAGGAAAAGAAUGGGGAGAAGGAGGAAAGUAGGAACAAAGAAAAGGAGGGGGAAGAGAGUAGGAGGAAGAGGAAGGGAAGAGGAGGAAAGGAGGGGGAGAGGAGGAGGAGGACGAGGAGAAGAUGGAGAAAAGGAAGAUGAGGAAGAGAAGGAGGGGAGGAGGAGAGAAGAAAGAAGAAAAGGAACAGGAGGAGAGGAGAAAGGAGAGGAGAAGAAGGAGAGAAAGGAAAAGUAAGAGGAAGAGGAGAAUGUGGAUAGGAGAAGGAGGAAGAGAAAAAGGUGGAGAGGAGGAGAGGCGAAGGAAAAGGAGGAAGAACUGAAAAGGAGGAGAGGAAAAGGAGACAAGGGGAGGGGAGGAGGAAGAAAAGAAAAAAACGGGAGGAUGAGGAAAGGAGGAGGAAACAAAAAGGAGAAAGGACGAGGAGAAAAAGAGGAAAAGGAGGAGGAGAGAUGGAAGAGGAGAGGUGGUGGAGGGGAGUAAAAAGGAGAGGAGGAGGAAGGGAAGAAAGAUGAGAGGAAGAAAAGGAGAGGAGGAGGAAGAAAGGGGAGAAGUGGAGGAGGAGGUGGGGGAGAAGUGGAGGAGGAGGUGGGGGAGAAGUGGAGGAGGAGGUGGGGGAGAAGUGGAGGAGGAGGUGGGGGAGAAAUGGAGGAGGAGGUGAGGAAGAAGAGGGGAGAAAGAAAAAGGAGCAGGAGAACAUGAAUGGGGAGGAAGAAGAGAUGAGGAGAGGAGGAGAAAAGUGAGGAGGAGAAGACGAAAAGGAAUGGAGGAGAUGGAAAGGAGGAAAAAGGAGGAGGAGGAGAAAAAAGUUAUCACUUUGUGACAGUAAUUAUGACUCUUUUCAUGGCUUUUGGAUUAAAGUUCAAACUCAACAGGAGAGACACACAGAUAAAAAAUCCAGAUUAUUUCAGAGCUCAAUUUCAGAGCUAAAGGAAAAGAUAUGUGGUAAUACACCUGUGGACGUUGCCAAUGCAAAACAGUUGCAUUGUUUUGGUUUUGGAUCCAGACAUAUGUCACCAUAGGCAAUGUAUGCAGUGCCUAGGAGAAAGUAGAGAGCCACAACAGUUAGGUGCUGGGCCUAGUGAUACAUCACAAUCCCUUUUUGGUCAGAGACCAAACAGUAGAGGAGAGCCAUAUCACCUAGGUUCUAGGUCCAGCAAUACAUCACAAUACUUUCUGAGAGGAAGACCAAAGCAGGAGCGCCACAUCACCUAGGUUUGAGAGCCCCAGAGAUAUGGCACAAUGCCUUCUGUGGGUAGGGCUCAGGAAGAAGAGGAAAGUUACGUAACCUAGGGGCUACAGCCAGCUAUAUGUCACAAUCACCCCCAAGGGGCAGGGACGAUGCAUGAGAGGAGAGUCACAUCAAGUAGGUGGUGAGCAAAGCAAUAUGUAACAAUCAGAGGAGAGUGUCAUCUCCUACAUGCUGGGCCAUAUGUUACAACAUCCCCUAUGGGCAAAGCCCAGGUAAGAGAAGAGAUACACAUCAAAUAGUUGAUGGGCUAAGAGAUACUUCUCAAUGCCCCCUGUAGAAAGAGAUGAGGAGAAAUAAAUCAGAUUGCCUGUGUUCUGGGCCCAGGGAUAAGCCACUAUUUCAUCUAUGGACGUGGCCCAGGCGGGUGAGGAGAGUUACAUCACUUAGAUGCUGGGAACAGAGAUAUGUAACAAUCUCUUCUAUAAGCAAGACCCUGGUAAGAAAAGAAAGAUACAUCAAAUAUUUAUGGACCCACAGAUGCCCCCUUUUUGACAGAGUCAAGGCAAGAAAGUCACAUCACCUUGGUCCUGGGCCCAGCAAUAGGUCACAAUACCUUCUGAAGACAGGGCCAAGGCAAAUGAGUAACAUCUUGGAGCUGGGCCCAGGAUAUAUGUAACAAUCUCCCCUGUGGGCAGAACCUAGGAAGAAGAGAAGUGUCACAUGAGCUAGGUGCUGAGCCCAGGGAUAUGUCACCAUCCCUCCAAGCAAGAGAUGAGAGUACAUUACCUGGGUGAGGAGUGCAGGGAGAUAUCACAAUCCCCUUUUUAGGCUGGGCCCAGGCAGAAGAGUCACAUCGCCUAAGUGUUAGAAUGAGUGAUGUGUCACAAUGUCCCUUCUGUGCAGCACCAAGGUAGGAGAGAAAACUUACGUCACCUGAGUGCAAGUCCCAGCGAUAUGCCACAAUGCCUCCUGUAAGAGGCACCAAGGCUUGAGAAUAGAGUCAUCUCGCCUAGGUUCUGGGUCCAGCAGUAUAUCACCAUUCUACUUGUGAACGAAGCCCAGGCAGGAGAGUCAAAUCAGGUGUUUGGCUGAGGCGUAUGUCACAAUCACACCUUCAAAAAAUCCACAGAUGAGAUUAUCAAUCCCUCACAUGUUCUGGUUCUAGGUAUGAGAGUCAACAUGUCUUGUAUGUUGUGUGAAGUACAUGAGUCACAAUCUCAACUGUGAACUGGAUCUGUGCAGCAGCUUCUCAAUGUUUUCUGGGCAUUGUGUCCCCUUAGAUAAGUCGCAGCCUGACACGUGUGCUAAAUUAUGGUUUGAAGGUCAACAAAUCCAUGCAUAACAAAAAUCCAUGUAUGAGAGUCAACAUUGCAACUUUUGACUGCCUCUAGAUAUAAGAUUCAAAUCCUCAACAGUGGGCCAUGCUCAUGUGAGAGGACAACAAUCUUUACUCUUGACUGUGUCUGCUUACUAGUAUUACAAUCUCACCUUUGAGCUGGGCUCUGUUAGUACACUCUCUGUACCACCCAAAGAAUUUAUGAGAUACAUGGUUUGGCUCUAUGUCCUCACCCAAAUCUCAUCUACAAUUGUAAUCUCCAUGUGUCAAAGCAGGCAGGUCAUUGGAUCAUGGGACAGUUUCCCCCAUACUGUUUUUGUGAUAGUGAGUGAGUUCUCAGAGAUCUGAUGGUUUUAUAAGUGUUGGAAGUUCCUUCUUUAUUCACUUUCUCCCUCCUGCCACCUUGUGAAGAAGGUUCCUGAUUCUCCUUCUGCCAUGAUUAUAAAUUUCCUGAGGUCUCCCCAGCUAUGUGGAACUGUGAGUCAAUUAAAUCCCUUUUCUACCUAAAUUACCUGGUCUUGGGCAGUUCUUUAUAGCAGUGUGAAAAUGAACUAAUACAAUAUGAUAUGCAUGAGAAUUGCAAUCUGCAUUAAGACCUUCAUGCUGAUAUGAGCCCAUGAUUGUACGUGUCAGUCUAAGCUCAGGUAUGAGAGUCAACACCUCCCCAAUUGGCUGUGUCUAAAUAGAAGAGUACUCAUGUGCCUAUGAGCUGGGUUUAGAAAUGGGUCACUAUCCCAUAAGUGUCCAGAUGUUCACAUAUGACUGACACAAUUCCAUCUGUAGACUGUGUCUACGUGUGAGAUUCAGGAUCUCACCAGUGGGUUGUGUCCAUGUGUGAGGAUGACUAUUUUAAGGAUUGGCAGGGUGUGCAUACCAGAAAUACAGUAUUUCUUGUGUCCUUGGACCUGUGAUGACACUCUCUGUACCACUUGUGGGCUUUAUACAACAUGCAAGAGAGUGGUAAACCUCUGUGACCUUUGUACAAAGAGGACACCCAGGAUCUUACCUUUUUCCCUGAGCCUUGCUAUAAGAGACAGUAUCUCUCUCAUUGGCUAGUUCAAGGUAUGAGAGUCAUCAUCACCUGUGAGCUGGGCCAAGAUAUAUGUCACAAUCACUCAUGGAUUGGGAGUAAGCAGGAGAGUAACAUUACCUUGGUUUGGGGCCAGAUAUAUGUCACAAUCUUCUGUGAGGGCUCAGCAAUAUGUCACAAUGAUCUACGUAUUCAAGACUCAGUCAAAAGAGCCUCACCACCUUGUCGCGGGGUCCAGUGAUGUGUCAUAAUCUUUUCUGUUAGGAGGGUGCAGGCAGAAAAGAAGAGUCACAUGUCCUAGGUAGUGUAUGCAGAUAUAUGUCACAAGGCCCACUGGGCAGGGCCCAGGCAGGAGCCUCUUAUUUUCUAGGUGUUGGACCCAGUGUUAUUUCACAAUACACCAAAUAUUUGGGGCCUGGGAGAAAGGACAGUCACAUCACAUAGGUGCUGGGCCAAAAGAUAUGUUAUAAUAACCCUCUUUAGCAGAGCCCAGGCAGAAAAAUAAAUGUGUCACAUCACCCAGGUGAUAAACAAAAAGGUAUGGCAUAAUACCCCUAUGGGCAGGGCUCAUGCAGAAGAGUUGCACCACAUAGUUGUUAAGAUAGGCCAUAUGUCACAAUACACAAUUUAUGCUGAGCUCAGGCAGGAGAAAAGAGUAACAUUACCUAUGUGCUGGGCUCAGCGAUACGUCACAAUACCUCCUUGGUCAGAGCCCAAGAAGUAGAAGAGAGUUACCUCACCUAGGUGCUGAGUCCAUCAAUAUGUCACAGUACUCACUGAGUGAAGGGCCCAAGAAUGAGGAUUGCAUCAUUUAGGUGAGGGGCCCAGAGCUAUGUACCCAUGCUCCCUGUAGGUAGGGCUUAGGAAGAAAGAAGAGAGUCACAUAACCUGUCACAUAACCUAGACAGAUGAGCCCAGCCCUAUGUCAAAAUUACAACAGUGAUCAGAGUCCAGACAUGAGAGGAGAAUCACAUCACAUAAAUGUUGGGUGAAGGAAUAUGUCACCAUCCCUACUGGGGACAGAAGCAGAAAAAUAAGGAGAAUUACACCAUCUAGGUAAUGGGCCCAGAGAUACAUUGCAGUGACCCCUGUGGGCAAUGACCAGGCAGUAGAAUCACAUCACCUGUGUGUUGGGCUUAGGGAUAAUUCACUCUACCUUCUGUGGGCAUAGCGCAGGCAAACAAGGAGAGUCACAACACCUAGGUACUGGAAUCAGAGACGUGAUAAUCUCUUCUAAUGGCAAAGACCAAGUAAGCAAGAAGAGUCACAUCAAAUAGUUCAUGAACUUAGAGAUAUGUCACAAUGCCCCCUGUGGGCAGGGUCCAGGCAAGAGACUCACAUCAUCUUGGUGCUGAGCCCAGCAAUAUGUCAGAAAGCUUUCUGAGGUCAGAACCAAGGCAAAAGUGUAACAUCACCUUACCGUUGGGUCCAGAGACACAUCACAACCUUUCCUGCAGGCAGAACCUAAAAAGAAUAGAAGAGUCACAUCAACUCAAUGCUGGGCCCAGUGAUGAGUCACAAUAUCCCCUGUGAGCAGAGAUCAGGCAGAAGUGAGUCACAUCACCUAGGUAAUGGAUGCAGAGAUGUCACAAUGCCUCCUGUAGGCAGGGACCAGGCAGGAGAGUUAUAUCAUCUGAGUUUUGGACCCAGUAAUAUAUCACAAUGGGCCAUGUGGGCAGGGUACAGACAGGAGAAUCACAUAACUUGGGUGUCACAAUGCCUUCUGUGCACAGUGACAAAACAGAAGGGUAGACUCAUAUUAACUGAAUAUAAGGCCUAGUGACAGUGAUAUGUCACAGUGCUGUCUGUGGGCGGUGCCAAGGCAGUGGACUAGAGUCCCAUCAUGAAGGAACCAGCAAGAACAAUCACAUCUCCUGUGGGCUGCAUCCAGGGACAAGUUACCCUCCCUUCUGUGAUCAGAGCCCAGGAAGAAAAGAAGAGUCACAUUACCUAGGUGGGCCCAGAGAUGUGUCACAAUGUCACCUGUUGGCAAAUACCAAGGCCCAGACAGAAGAGAAGAGUCACAUCAUCUAGAUGAUGAAUGAAAAGAUAUGUCAUUAUUCUCCUUUGGGCAGUGCUUCUGCAGAAAAGUUGCACCUUCUAGGUGUUGGACUCAGCAAUAUAUCACAAUGUCUGCAGUAUUUUGGAAGGAGAGGAGAGUCACCAUUACUUAGGUGCUAGGCCCAGCAAUACAUCUCAAGCACUUCUUGGGCAAAGCCCAAGCAGUAAAAAAGAGUCACAUUACCUAGGUUCUGGGUAUAGCAAUAUGUCACAAAUGCCCCUAAGAAGAGGGCCCAGGAAAAGAGAGUCACCUUGGUGAGAAUGUCAGAGAUAUUCCAUUUUUGGGUAUUCACAAAAAAGAAUAAAGUCCCAUAACCUAGAAGGUGGGCUCUGCUCCAUGACACAAAUCACCCUAGUGGGCAGGUCCAUUAAAGAGAAGGCUGUCAAAGCACAUAGAUGCUGGGCAAAGUGAUAUGUCAUAAUCCCCAUGAUGAUAGGCCCAGAGACAUGUCACAAUGACCUCUUUAGGCAGAGACCAGGCAGAAGAAUCACAUCACUUGUGUGCUGGCCCUAGUGAUAAGUCACUCUCAUUUCUGUGGACAUGGCCCAGGCAGAAGAGCAGAGUCACAUUACCUAAGCGCUGGGUCAAGAGAUAUGUCACAAUCUUUUACAUGGGCAAAACCCAGGUAAAAAAGAGGAGUAAUAUCAGAUAGUAGGUGUUGCCAGAGAUAUGUCAAAAUGCCCCCUGUAUGAAAGACUCAGGCAGUCAAAACACAUUAGUUGGUUUCUUAACCUAGUGAUAUGUUAUAAUCUUUCCUGUGGGUAUGAUGCAGGCAGAAGACGAGAGUCAUGUGAUGGAUGCAGAGACAUGUCACAAGGUCUUCUGUGGGCAGGGUCCAGACUGAAGCCUUCCACCUGCUAGGGGUUGAGCCCAAUGAUAUGUCACAAUACCCAAAUUAUGCAGGGCCCAGGCAAAAAAAACGAGAGGCACAUCACCUGGGUUCUGGAUCCAAUGAUAUAUCACAAUUUUCUAUUUUGGCAAGACCCAGGCAGAAAGAAAAGUUACAUCACCUAGGUGAUGAAUGAAAAUACAUAUUAUAAUAGUUUUGUGGGCAGGACCCAUGCGGGAGAGUCACAUCACCUAGGUGUUGGACCCAGAAAUAUGUCACAAUAUACAGUGUAUACAGAGCUGAGGCAUGAGACAAUAGUAACUUCACUCAUUUGUUGAGCCCAGCUAUACAAUCCUUUUUUGGGCACAGCCGAAGUAGUAGAGGAGAGUUACAUCACCUUGGUGCUGGGUCCAGCAAUGUGUCACCAUACCUGCUGAGGGGAGGGUACAGGCAAGAGAGCCACAUCACUUAGGUGAGGGGCCCAGAGAUAUCUCACAGUACCCCCUGUGGGUAGAACUCAGGAAAAAGGAGAGAGUCACAUAAUCUAGAAGCUGAGCUCAGCUGUAUGUUACAAUCACCCAGUGGACAGGUCCCAGGCAUGAGAGUAGAGUCACAUCACAUAGGUGCUGGACCAAGCAAUUUGUCACAACCUUCACUGUGGACAGGUCCCCAGAAAAAGAGAAUCACAUCAUUUAGGUAACAAAACCUGAGUUAGUCACUGUUACUUGUUUGGGCAGAGGUCAGGAAGAAGUGUCACACAACAUGUAUGCUGGACUAAGCAAUACGUCACUCUCUCUGUUUUAGGUAUGGCCCAGGCAGGAGAGAAGGGUCAUAUCACCUAAGCUCUGGAUUCGCAGAUAGGCCCCAAUCUCUUUUUUGGGCAAUGCUCGGGUAAGAGAGCAGAGUCACAUCAAGUGGUUGAUGGGCCCAGAGAUAUAUCACAUUGCCCCUUGUGGACAGGGACCAGGCAGGGGACUCACAUCACAAUAGAGGUAGGACAAGGAAUACAUCACAAUACGUUUUGAGAGCAGAACCAAAAAAGAGUAACAUAAUCUUUGUGUUGAGUGCAGCAAUAUGUUACACUUUUCUUUGUGGGCAGAACGUGUAAAGAAGGAAAAAGUUGGCCGGACACGGUGGCCUGUAAUCCCAACACUUUGGGAGGUCAAGGUGGGCAGAUCACCUGAGGUCAGGAGUUCAAGACCAGCCUGGCCAACAUGGCAAAACGCUGUCUCUACUAAAAAUACAAAAAUUGGCUGGGUGUGGUGGCAGGCACCUGUAAUUCUAGCUACUCAGGAGGCUGAGGCAGGAGAGUCACCUGAACCUUUGAGGCAGAGGCUGCAGUAAGCAAAGAUCACGCCACUGCACUCCAGUGUGGGUGACACAGCAAGACUCCAUCUCAAAAGAAAAAAAAAUAAAGAAAGGAAAAGUCACAUAAGCUAGGCACUUGGCCCGUGAUAUGUCAUAGUCACCCAUUUGAGAAGGGAACAGCGAAGAGAAGAGAGUCACAUCACCUCUCUGGUGGACACAGAGAUAUCUCACAAUGCUCUCUGUAGGCAGGGCCAGGGCACAAGAGUUAUAUAACUCGGGUGUUAGACCAAGCAACAUGUCACAAUGGCUGAUAUGGGCCAGACACAGACAAGGGAGUCACAUAUUUGGGUGUAGGGCUCAGUUAUAUGUUGAAAUGCCCCCUGUGGGCAGCGACAAAGCAGAAGAUUCACAUCACCUGGAUAUAAGGCCCGGUGAUACGUUACAAUUCCCCUGUGAGCAGCGCUAAAGCAGAAGAAUAGGGUAAUAUCACCUAGGGGCUGAGUCCAGUGAUAUGUCACAAUUCCAUCUGGGCUGGGCCCAGGCAGAUGUGUCAAAUCAUGAAGGUUCUGUGAAGGUGCAUAUAUCACAAUCACACCUGCAGGAAGGUCCAAUAAUGAGAUUAACAAUCUCACACAGGUCCGGGUUCUAGGUAUGAGAGUCAACACCUGUGUGUUGGAUCCAAAUAGAUGAGUCGUAGUCUCAACAAUUGACUUGAUCCAUGUGUGAGAUCCUAGUUUCUAUUUGCAUUACUAUUGGUACCAGUACCUAUUAAUUCUUCCACCUUCUACAUCUUUGUUCUGUAUGAAUGUAUAUACAAAGAUUGAUACAUAUACAAGAUUAUAUGAGUAUUUCUAUGUAAAUAUGUACACAAAAAUUGUUCCUCCAAAGACAUUUUUCAGUAUCUUAGCAUAUUCUAAGGGUGCAGAUGUAGAAUUAUUUCUCUUCUCUGGCUCAGUAGCAUGUCAGAAUGGAACAUAGGUAUAGAAUGUUUUUUGUAUAGACAAAGCUUCACUUUCAGGGGCAAGGUUUGGGAAAUAAGCUGAUAGUAAAGUCAUGUAACACUUUCUGUGCAGGUUAACAUUUCUGGACCUUGCUUUCCUUCUCAGUGUAUGCAUGAGCUAUUCUCAUGCACCACUGGGGGCCAGUCUUGAUUAAUCUACAGUUGAAAUUUAGAGAACUGGCUGAUUGAAUCCACCUGGGCUGAGCUAACUGACAUUGAAAUCAGCUGGGCUGAGCUUAUUGGCCAGUUAAAAUCAUCUGGGCUCAAAUAUCGGCUGACUGGAGUCACCUGGGCUAAACUAAUUGGCUGAUUUUAAUCUCCUGGGAUUGGUUAAUUGACUGUAAUGACCUGAUUUGAGUUAAUUGACUGAUUGAAAUCAAAAGUGCUGACCUAAUUGGCUGAUUGAAAUCACCUAGAAUGAGGUAACUGACUGAUUGGAUUUACCUGAUCUGAGCUAAUUGGCUGAUCAGAAUUACCUAGACCAAAUUAAUUGGCUAAUUGGAAUACACUGGGCUGAGCUAAUUGGCUGAUUGAAAUAAUCAGGGCUGAGUAAGUGGGUUGCUUGUAUUCACCUCCCCUGAGAAGAAUAAGUAGGGAAAUGAUCUCUGACUUACCUUUUUUUUUAUAAGACAUACUCAUAAAUGGACAUUACAUAGAUAUAUUUAUAUAUUGUAUGUGUUUGUAUGUGUUUAUCUACAUAUAUUAUAUCUGUUAACCUUCAAGUUAAAGUGUGCAAAGGAAUCUGAAAUUUGCUUUCAAUAUUGCAGUCUAUCUUCAAUUUACAGACCUUGGCUUUUCUACCCCAAUUCAAGAAGUCACUUCUUCAGUCAACCAAACCAAUUACAAAAUUGUGUUCCAAUGUCACAUGUUCAAAAAUAAACAGUUCCUGAAAAGA